CCUACGGGGGGCAGCAGUGGGGAAUAUUGGACAAUGGGCGAAAGCCUGAUCCAGCCAUGCCGCGUGUGUGAAGAAGGCCUUCGGGUUGUAAAGCACUUUCAGUGGGGAAGAAAGCCUUGGGGCUAAUACCCUCGAGGAAGGACAUCACCCACAGAAGAAGCACCGGCUGAACUCCGUGCCAGCAGCCGCGGUAAUACGGAGGGUGCGAGCGUUAAUCGGAAUUACUGGGCGUAAAGCGCGCGUAGGCGGUCUGAUAAGCCGGUUGUGAAAGCCCCGGGCUCAACCUGGGAACGGCAUCCGGAACUGUCAGGCUAGAGUGCAGGAGAGGAAGGUAGAAUUCCCGGUGUAGCAGUGAAAUGCGUAGAGAUCGGGAGGAAUACCAGUGGCGAAGGCGGCCUUCUGGACUGACACUGACGCUGAGGUGCGAAAGCGUGGGUAGCAAACAGGAUUAGAUACCCGAGUAGUC
rnacentral:rRNA from 1 species